AUUGAACGCUGGCGGCAGGCCUAACACAUGCAAGUCGAGCGGAUGAAGGGAGCUUGCUCCUGGAUUCAGCGGCGGACGGGUGAGUAAUGCCUAGGAAUCUGCCUGGUAGUGGGGGAUAACGUCCGGAAACGGGCGCUAAUACCGCAUACGUCCUGAGGGAGAAAGUGGGGGAUCUUCGGACCUCGCGCUAUCAGAUGAGCCUAGGUCGGAUUAGCUAGUUGGUGGGGUAAAGCCCUACCAAGGCGACGAUCCGUAACUGGUCUGAGAGGAUGAUCAGUCACACUGGAACUGAGACACGGUCCAGACUCCUACGGGAGGCAGCAGUGGGGAAUAUUGGACAAUGGGCGAAAGCCUGAUCCAGCCAUGCCGCGUGUGUGAAGAAGGUCUUCGGAUUGUAAAGCACUUUAAGUUGGGAGGAAGGGCAGUAAGUUAAUACCUUGCUGUUUUGACGUUACCAACAGAAUAAGCACCGGCUAACUUCGUG
rnacentral:rRNA from 1 species